GACAUAGAAUAAACAAAUCAAAAUAUUGUAACACCUUAUUUAUUUUUCUUUGAAAUAAAAAAAAUGUUAUUUUUAUGUUUUCCACAGUAAUACAAUGUGGAUAUUAUCAAUGAGGAUAUGAAAUCACUGAUUUAGCAACAAUAUUAAAACCUCUCUGGGCUUUUAACAUUUUUAUUUAAGGUUGGAUUAAAAGGCUCUCAUUUCUUCCAGUCGUUUAUCCUGAAAACAUUCUCAGUGCGAUGCUGGCUUCUUCCUUUCUUUCUUUCUCUUUUUCUCUCUCUUUCUUUCUUUCUUUCUCUUUCUUUUUCUUUUUUUAUUAUUGAUACAACUUGAAAGAAGCUGACAAGUGAACAAGAAAUAUUCAAGCAUGCUCUAUUCUAACUGAUUUGUUCAAGAGGAUGAUUCAUUUAAUUUCAUAAAGGCUCAGUGGGCCAGAACUGUAGAUGACCAGGUCAGCAGAGGGAAUGUAGGGGAGAAGAGGUCUGUGAGAAGAUCUAUGUAACAAGCAACAAUAUUUAGUUUUUUAGAGCUGAAGUUCUGCUUGAGCAAUUCUGAUGUUACCAGCAACAGUCAUUUAAAGAGCUGCUGAUGCCUCAGGGAAAACAUUUUUAAAACAUCCUAUCUAAAAACAAUGCUCCUUGUACUGUGUCAUAUCUAUUAGAACUCCAUCCCUUGCUUAUAUUAGAGUACAUCGUGACUGAUUAAAACCUGUGCUACUGUAAUGUGGCGUCUUGAGAGUGCCGAUUAAAUGUUGCUACUGAAAUAUUUCCUCCUACUGAAUCUCUCUGAAUAUGAUUGAAAUAUUAAUCACCUGGUAAACAAAGCUGGAGAACAGAGAAAAGUAUAAUUUAAUUUUAACUAAAAUGUCUAAAAUUCUAUAAAAAUUUUUAUACAAUUAUUUAAAAUGUUAGAGAAAAAAAUACAAAAUCAUAUGAACAUGCUACAAAUAUUCUUGACUUCUUUAUUGUACUUCUUUAGUAUUUAACUUUGACUGAUGACCUCAACAUGCAAAUCAUGUCGUAUUUCUAAUAGAUUAUAUGGUAUUUUUGAAUAGUGUAACUUACUGGCCAGUGGUAUCCCUGGAGUAGAUGAUAUAUAUCUUGUAAUAGAUAAGAUUGGAAAAAAUUGAUGUAUCUCUGGAAAUCAUAAUGGUGGUGGUCUAGCAUGAAUAGUUACUCUAGUUAGAGACUUAUUUACCUGGAUUUUAUUCAACAGCACAUUGUAUAGCUAGGAAAAAAAACCUCGGUUUAACCAUUAUCUUUAAUUUUGCUUUCUUUAUAUUUUAAAGGAAACCUUAAAAUUAAAGCAAUUCAAGUAAAUGCUCUGUUGAAGAUGAUAAUUUGCAAGAGUGUAGUUUUAUAUGAAAUGAUUUAUUUUGAAAGUAUAUUCAGUUUUCCAAAGUAAAUCAGAGAUACACACAUAUUUGGAAACUUUCCUAGAGGGAACUAGGUGGUGCUGUUCUGUCAUGUUUGUGUCCUAGUGACUUCUUUGGUCUGUUCUCAAUUCAUUAAACAUUUUCAUACAAUAGGUACAUUAGAUAAGAUACAAUUUGGUCUAUAUUGGCAUUAUUUUUAUUAACCAACUAAGCUUAUGUUGAUCUUGCAUCUUUUUUUCUCAGUAUUUUUGUAUAGCAGAUAAAAACUGUCUUUCUAAGCAGUAAGCUAUGUCACAGUUCACAAUGUCUCUCAUUUCUUCAUCAUUUAAAGUAAUAUAUUAAAUUCUGAAAUCUUCAGAUAUUUAUAUCAUUUUCUUAUUUCAGACUUAAUAACAACAAAGUUACUCCACUGUUCACUGUUAGUACACUGGUAUUUUUGAGGUAUAUUUUCUUAGUAAGAAUUAUGACUUCUUUCAGAUACCAUUAGGUUUAGGGAAUCAGAUAUGAGAAAAAAAGGUUUCUUUUUUUUUUUUUUCAUCAAAAAUCAUCUUGUAAGUUGUACUUCUUAAUGAUUUUUUGAUACCUUUGGAGAAGAGUAUAUCAUGUAAUUUAUUAUCUAAAGUAAAUCUGGAUAUAAAAUAAGGAUAAAAGUACUUUAAGAAUCUACCUAUGUGUUUUCUUAUAAAAUUAUAUUGCUAUCAUUUUGAAUGGGGACAGAUAUAAUUUACAGCAUUUUUUUUCUGAUGCAAUACAUCCUCCUUGCUGCUAUCUAUAUCAUAGAACAUUUAAGUUUUACAUUAAUAGAGGAGUGAAUGUUAUAUAUAGAAAACUGUUUUCUUUUAUCUCUCAAAUCUUUUAUCUUUAGAAGACAGAAUCAAUAUGGAAUUUCAGAAUGGUUCCAUGGCAUGUUAUUUUACAAUGCACAGAGAUAAUCUCUGAGAUGAACAUCUUCUAGGCUAAUAAGCCUAAGUGCAAGUGCGGUUAAACUUCUGUUCGCAUGUCAGGUCUUCUGGAAUAAUAGGGAAGUCACAAGAUUUGUGACUUCCAUUUUAAAAGGGAGAAUGCCAGUGGCUAAAUGUUUGAAUGCCACAUUUAAAUAUUUGUCAGAUAAGAGUUCAGAAUGGGGGAACUGAAUAAGAGAAUUGAGAUUAUUCAUUCACAAGAAUGCCUUCAUUUUCUAUCAAGUGAAAAUUUUCAUAAGAAGGAUUAGGUUUGUACUGUCAUAACCUUAAAAUGUCAAGAAACCUAAUAAUAAAUAAAUAUUUUAGGAUUAGAUAAAAAGUAUUUAGGUGUAGGUAUUAAUUAUUUGUACUACGAAAAUACUUUCUAACUUUUAGGUACUAUUAUGAGAGUAAACUUGGAAAUUAUAAAAGGUAUUCAUAGAUUGACCAUAUCUACCUGGUCAAAAACAUGCAGUGUGUUUAUGAUUUUGCAUCAUCCUUUUUUGAAAGUUGACAUUUUGGCAGCAAUACUACUAAUAAAAUACUCAACUUGAAUAUAUUAGAUGCCAGAUUUAUCUUAUGGAAAGUUAAAUGGUACUGUCAUCAGGACCAAUCCUUUGUAGACAGCCUAUUUUUAAAAUACACCCUACUUUAAAUAAAGCAUGAUGUUUGGUGAAAAAUAUCUAAAUCAUAACCGCAUAUAUUUUAAGAUUAUUUUUUCCCUCCAGAAUAUAUAAAUUGUACAGGUUAUUUCAUUCUUUAAGUAUCAAAAAUACAAAAACCGGAGUUCCCGUCGUGGCGCAGUGGUUAACGAAUCCGACUAGGAACCAUGAGGUUGUGGGUUCGAUCCCUGCCCUUGCUCAGUGGGUUAACGAUCUGGCGUUGCCAUGAGCUGUGGUGUAGAUUGCAGACGUGGCUCGGAUCCUGCGUUGCUGUGGCUCUGGCGUAGG
rnacentral:lncRNA from 1 species